rnacentral:ncRNA from 2 species
UAAAAAGUAGUGAUCGUUAAUUAGUAGUCGUUGACCCAACAGUCUAGCGACUCGGUGGGUGGUGCGAACCGAGCUGUGGUCAAAGAUGAAUUACAUAACGUGAACUGCCAUUGGCCGGAUGAUAUCCGUUACUAAUCAAUGAGCGAUCACAUUUGGUGAUAACUUGGGUGGUAACGCGGAAAACUCGUCCCUGUU